GCCGAAAGAGAGCGAGUGAAGAAAAUAUUAAAAAAUAAAAAUAAGCUCCGCCUCUCUCUCUUCCUCCCUCGCGCUCGAUUCACACCACACCUCACAGCGGUUCCUCCUCCUCCUCCUCCUGGCUGCUUCCCCCUCAAUCCCACAAUCCGCCGGCCGAGCAAUUUCCCCAUGCUCCCGGCCUCCCGGAUGACCCCCGCCCCGACCCGCCGCUCCUUCUGCUGCUGCUUCGCCUGCUCGCUCAAUCCCCCCGGAGCCGCCGUCGCCGCCGCCGCCCGCUAGUCCUCGCCCGGGGGAGCAGAAGAUCCGGUCUUGGCCGCCUCCGUCGCCAAGGGCUGAUCGUGGGGUGGAGAGCGUGCCGAGCUCGAGGGGCAGUGCUUUUGACAGAGAAUUUGAGCCCAGCGGAUGAACAUGUGUGAGAAAGAUCAAAAUUUCCACUGGGCGUACGACCUUUUCCAUGACCCUUUUGCCGCUCCCAACAGCUACUAUGGACAUCCUAAUGGUUACAGUGACAACAGCUAUUGUGACUACAAUUAUGCUAGAGAUGCAUCACAUCCCGAUGAGACAUAUUUGCAUUCUUCUGCACUUACGUGCGAUAUGUACAACCCACAAGUAGGCAUGUACCAUCCUGGAAAUGUUGGCGGGCAGGAGCAUGAGGCAGUCUAUGUAGAUCCGUCUAGUUCCUCUUCAUACCCUGGCAGUGACGAUUGUUUUGAAAUGGAGGAAGAAGUAGGGAAGAGAUUUUACCCCAUGGUCCCAGUUCCCCAUGUCCCUAAAAUUAAUGGUGAAAUUCCAUCACUUGACGAAGCCAGCAUGGACCAUGAAAGGCUGUCAGACAGGUUGAGGUUGUAUGAACUAACUGAGAACAAGGUGAAAGGUGAUGGCAAUUGUCAGUUCCGUGCACUAUCAGAUCAGCUGUACCAAACUCCGGACCACCAUGAGUUUGUGAGGGAGCAGAUAAUUAGCCAGCUUAAGAGUAACCGGGAAGCCUAUGAUGGAUACGUCCCCAUGGCAUAUGAUGAGUAUCUGGAGAAAGUAUCACGAAAUGGUGAAUGGGGUGACCAUGUGACUUUACAGGCUGCUGCUGACAAGGUGCUUAUAUUUGUCUUACUCAUGGGCAUAGCAUAUAUCACAGCUGGCAGGGGUUGUACUUUACUAAUGCCCAUUCUAACACAAUUCGACAAUCUGUUGCAGUACGGAGUGAAGAUUUUCGUCAUGACCUCGUUCAAGGAUACGUGCUACAUCGAGAUCCAACCCAAGGUUCAGAAGUCCAACAAAGUGGUGCUGUUGAGCUUUUGGGCGGAGGUUCACUACAACUCGAUAUUUCCACAGAACGGUGAGUAGCAUGCCUGCCUGCCAUUGAGAUACAUGCAAUGCGUGUCCAGUCCCCGUCGCAAACACGCUCCGAGGUUGCAGCACACGGCGAAGAAGAGGAGAUGGUGGCCGUUCUCGCAGCACCACCAUUGAUGAGACUCUCUUCCCCCGCCUCGGCGCGUGUACUCUGACGGCGUUCCGGCGUGCAAAGCACUCUUGUUUCUCCACCGAGAUGGAUGGCCCCGGGGCAACGCACUCCUGGUCCCGGGAGGGGUCGUCGCGGCGUGCGCUCGCUCUGACAGGAGGAGGAGAGAAAAGGAAAAAGGCGUUAUGGUUGUCUGAGAUAAUAUUAUAGAUACAUGGAAUGGAAGGAAUAAUGAACAUGCGACCUGUCCCGUAUAUAGUUUUGGGUCGCAUUGCAGGCUCUGUUUAUGUAUUUACAUACAAAAUUUUGCCGGAAUGAGGCUACAUACAGUUAAUCAUUCAUUUGGAAUACAAAUGAUAUGGAUGGUGAUACUAAUAAUAAUAACUGGGUGAAUGCAGUGUUAAAGAA